CCUACGGGUGGCAGCAGUGAGGAAUAUUGGUCAAUGGGAGAGAUCCUGAACCAGCCAAGCCGCGUGAGGGAAGACGGCCCUAUGGGUUGUAAACCUCUUUUGUCGGAGCACAAAACCCGGGACGUGUCCCGGACUGCGUGUCUCCGAAGAAAAAGCAUCGGCCAACUCCGUGCCAGCAGCCGCGGUAAUACGGAGGAUGCGAGGGUUAUCCGGAUUUAUGGGGUUUAAAGGGUGCGUAGGCGGUCCGUUAAGUCAGCGGUAAAAGUGCGGGGCUCAACCCCGUCGAGCCGUUGAAACUGGCAGACUGGAGUGGGCGAGAAGUACGCGGAAUGCGUGGUGUAGCGGUGAAAUGCAUAGAUAUCGCGCAGAACUCCGAUUGCGAAGGCAGCGUACCGGCGUCAGACUGACGCUGAGGCACGAAAGCGUGGGGAUCGAACAGGAUUAGAUACCCGAGUAGUC
rnacentral:rRNA from 1 species